rnacentral:rRNA from 1 species
GGCAGACGCGGGGGAGGGAGGGGUGGUAAGUGGGGGGUGGCAAGCGGUAUCCGGAAUCACUGGGUGUAAAGGGGGCGUAGGCGGUUGUAUAGGUCAGUGGGGAAAGGCCGUAGCUUAACUAUGGGAUUGCCAUUGAUACUGUAUGACUUGAAUGAGGUGGAGGUUGGCGGAAUGUGGCAUGUAGCGGUGAAAUGCUUAGAUAUGCCAUGGAACAUCGAUUGCGAAGGCAGCUGACUGGACCUGAAUUGACGCUGAGGCACGAAAGCGUGGGAGCGAACAGGAUUAGAUACCCUUGUAGUC